GCAGCCUGAACAUUUGGAGCGCCGGGUCUCCAAUGCAGGAGGCCCACCUGCUCCCCCAGCUGGGGGCCCACCUCCACCUCCAGGACCUCCCCCUCCUCCGGGUCCCCCCCCACCCCCAGGUCUGCCCCCCUCAGGGGUAUCUGGGGCAGGUCAUGGAACAGGUGUAGCCCCACCCCCUGCACCCCCACUCCCUACAGCACAGGGCCCCAGUAGUGGGGGUUCCGGGGCCCCAGGCCUGGCCGCUGCCAUUGCUGGAGCCAAACUCAGGAAAGUGAGCAAGCAGGAGGAGGCCUCUGGGGGGCCCCUGGCCCCCAAAGCUGAGAAUAGUCGAGGCACUGGUGGGGGGCUUAUGGAAGAGAUGAACGCCAUGCUGGCCCGGAGAAGGAAAGCCACACAGGUUGGGGAGAAGCCCCCCAAAGACGAGUCAGCCAGUCAGGAGGAGUCAGAGGCCCGAAUCCCUGCCCAAAGUGAACCUGUGCGAAGACCCUGGGAGAAGAACAGAGGAUGAAGUCAUCCUCUUCUGUGACUACCUCCGAGGCCCACCCCUCUGUGCCCAGCUCCAGUGAUGACUCCGACUUGGAGAGGGUGAAGCAGGAGCUUGUGGAAGAGGUGCGGAAGGAGCUACAGAAAAUGAAAGAGGAAAUAAUC
rnacentral:lncRNA from 1 species